rnacentral:rRNA from 1 species
UUUGGUGGUCAUAGCCCGUGCUAAACUCCCGAUCCCAUCCCGAACUCGAUGGAUAAGGGCACGAACGCCAAUGGUACUGCGACCCAAGUCGUGGGAGAGUAGGUCACCGCCAAAC